rnacentral:rRNA from 1 species
GACGAACGCUGGCGGCGUGCUUAGCACAUGCAAGUCGAACGGUAAGGCCCUUCGGGGUACACGAGUGGCGAACGGGUGAGUAACACGUGGGUGAUCUGCCCUGCACUUCGGGAUAAGCCUGGGAAACUGGGUCUAAUACCGAAUACACCCUGCUGGCUGCAUGGCCUGGUGGGGGAAAGCUUUUGCGGUGUGGGAUGGGCCCGCGGCCUAUCAGCUUGUUGGUGGGGUGAUGGCCUACCAAGGCGACGACGGGUAGCCGGCCUGAGAGGGUGACCGGCCACACUGGGACUGAGAUACGGCCCAGACUCCUACGGGAGGCAGCAGUGGGGAAUAUUGCACAAUGGGCGCAAGCCUGAUGCAGCGACGCCGCGUGAGGGAUGACGGCCUUCGGGUUGUAAACCUCUUUCAGCAUCGACGAAGCGAAAGUGACGGUAGGUGCGGAAGAAGGACCGGCCAACUACGUGCCAGCAGCCGCCGCAG